CCUCGGAGCGGCUUCGUCCUGGAGGGCUGGCUGCACAGCCUCCAGGCACUCUGGGGAGCGCCAGGACAAGACUGCCAGAUGUGCCCCAGAGCGUUCUUUAGCAUGGGGGGAGUGAACAGGAAGGAGGGAGCCACCAGCAAGCCCUUUGGGGGCGCCCUCAGCCUCCACCUCCCAGAAGACGCCUUACAUCCUUGGCUCUGCCCUAAAAGUGUCCCCGUCUUCCGGGUCCUGCUUGGAGCCGCAGGUAUCUCACUAGCUCUCUAGACUGCACCUGGUGAGCUCGGAGCUCUGGGCCAGGCUUCUCCUGC
ensembl:lncRNA